rnacentral:sRNA from 1 species
GUCGUGAGAUGUUGGGUUAAGUCCCGCAACGAGCGCAACCCUUGUCAUUAGUUGCUACCAUUUAGUUGAGCACUCUAAUGAGACUGCCGGUGACAAACCGGAGGAAGGUGGGGAUGACGUCAAGUCCUCAUGGCCCUUAUGGGUAGGGCUUCACACGUCAUACAAUGGUCGGUACAGAGGGUUGCCAACCCGCGAGGGGGAGCCAAUCUCAGAAAGCCGAUCGUAGUCCGGAUUGUAGUCUGCAACUCGACUACAUGAAGUCGGAAUCGCUAGUAAUCGCGGAUCAGCAUGUCGCGGUGAAUACGUUCCCGGGUCUUGUACACACCGCCCGUCACACCAUGGGAGUGGGUUUUACCAGAAGUAGUUAGCCUAACCGCAAGGAGGGCGAUUACAACGGUAGGAUUCAUGACUGGGGCGAAGUCGUAACAAGGUAGCCGUAUCGGAAGGUGCGGCUGGAUCACCUCCUUUCUAGAGUAAGCACGAGGUUCCAAGUGCUCACGCUUAUCGGUUGUUUCGAGCAGGGUGUCGCGUGCGAGGACGUUGGUCGUCUGCGCCUCGCCCCGGUCCCGAGAACAUCGGGUCUGUAGCUCAGCUGGUUAGAGCAUCGUCUUGAUAAGGCGGGGGUCGAUGGUUCGAGUCCAUCCAGACCCACCACGUGUUCUCGCUGCUGCAUGCCGAUGAAUCGGGGGUUUAGCUCAGCUGGGAGAGCACCUGCUUUGCAAGCAGGGGGUCGUCGGUUCGAUCCCGACAACCUCCACCAAGAUUCGCUUCGAAAACAAUCGUUCUUGUCUCAAGAGUUCAAAGUCAAGCGCAUGACGUGCGUUUGCCUUUGAUCGUUUGAUCAAUUGGCUGUUCGAUCUUUAACAAUCUGGAAGAAGUAAAGUAAUGUGCUUUGAUGGAAAGUCGCGCCUCAUACAGGGUGCGUCCGUACAUCGGAACAUGGGUGUGAUUGUAUCAACCAAGUUUUAAGUGUUCUCUUAACAAAGACGACGCUUGGAAUGCGGCACAAACGCUAAACUCAAUUCCUGUAACGGCCUUGUCAGAGGCUGUCUCGAAAGAGACAUCAACGUUAUAGGGUCAAGCGAAUAAGUGCAUGUGGUGGAUGCCUUGGCGAUUACAGGCGAUGAAGGACGUUGUAGCGUGCGAAAAGCUUCGGGGAGCUCGCAAACAAGCAUUGAUCCGAAGAUGU